rnacentral:rRNA from 1 species
GGCUGUUCGCCCAUUAAAGCGGUACGCGAGCUGGGUUCAGAACGUCGUGAGACAGUUCGGUCCCUAUCCGUCGCGGGCGCAGGAAAUUUGAGAGGAGCUGUCCUUAGUACGAGAGGACCGGGAUGGACGCACCGCUGGUGUACCAGUUGUCCCGCCAGGGGCACCGCUGGGUAGCUAUGUGCGGAAGGGAUAAGCGCUGAAAGCAUCUAAGCGUGAAGCCCCCCUCAAGAUGAGAUUUCCCAUCGCGAUAAGCGAGUAAGAUCCCUUGAAGAUGACGAGGUAGAUAGGUCCGAGGUGGAAGCGUGGUGACACGUGGAGCUGACGGAUACUAAUCGAUCGAGGACUUAACCAAGAA